rnacentral:rRNA from 1 species
GACGAACGCUGGCGGCGUGCUUAACACAUGCAAGUCGAACGAUGAAGCCGGAGCUUGCUCUGGUGAAUUAGUGGCGAACGGGUGAGUAACACGUGAGUAACCUGCCCUUGACUCUGGGAUAACUGCGGGAAACUGUAGCUAAUACCGGAUACGACCCUCGGAGGCAUCUCCUGGGGGUGGAAAGAAUUUCGGUCAAGGAUGGACUCGCGGCCUAUCAGCUAGUUGGUGAGGUAAAGGCUCACCAAGGCGACGACGGGUAGCCGGCCUGAGAGGGUGAUCGGCCACACUGGGACUGUGACACGGCCCAGACUAGUACGAGAGGCAGCAGUGGGGAAUAUUGCACAAUGGGCGCGAGCCUGAUGAAGCAACGCCGCGUGGGGGAUGACGGCCUUCGGGUUGUAAACCUCUUUUAGUAGGGAAGAAGCGAAAGUGACGGUACCUGCAGAAAAAGCACCGGCUAACUACGUGCCAGCCGCCGCGGUAA